AUACUUCCUGGACUUGGGGCUAAAAACAAGUGUAGUAUUUUUUCUUGCCAGUUUAAUAUCUGAUAUAUCCUCUAUCUGAGGACAGCUGGAACUGGAGUAGGAGUUUGUUGGGUCCACUCCACAAGUUGACCUGGUAUUGUAGUACCCCUUGUCCUGGAAUAAUAUUGGGAAA
ensembl:snRNA Gm25572 predicted gene, 25572